CCGUGCUGUUACGUAGAAAUCAGGUAGAGGCAGUGGAGCUUGAUAGUUAAGACUGUGGUACUUGGUGUCAGAGCUGUCUUUUCUUAGUUGUGGCUUUAGACCAGUCACACCUCUGAGCUGUGGGCCUAGCACAUGGAAGGUGCUUCAGUAUUGCUAAGUGGGGUAGUGACGUGGGGAGGCUGUGUAUUUAUUCUGCCAAGCUGAGUCACUCAGGCACUGAUCAGGGAGGGCCUACCGCUGUCCAGGCCUGUGCUGGACACUGAGAGAUACAUGAUCAAAGUCCCUUCCCAAGGAACUUACCUUGGGAGCAUGUACCUUUAGAGCCAUUUUACUCAACCCCUGAGAGAA